rnacentral:lncRNA from 1 species
GUACGUCAUCCAGGUUGAAAAACCUCACCCUAUGGGCUCAUCUGGGAAAGGGAAGGGCAAAAGGAAGAGUACUUAUCAACAACUUGUCGUGCAAGCUAAGACUGAUGCAAACGAAAAUGACAAAGUAGUUGCUUUAGGAGGGGGGAGAGCGGGUGAUGCAUCGACAUCAUCAGAACAGAGAUGGCCGUGUUGAAGCAGUAUAUAGUAGUGGCAGUGCACCUUCACUUGAUAAAGCGAUGAGGGCUGUAUCAGCUAACCCCUAUUGUUAUGAACAUAGCGAUCUGUGGUGGUAUGCAAAAGGGUUAUUGAAAGCUAACCCUCAGAAGAGAGCAACGCUACUGAAGGUGGGGACACGUGAGGUUAGUUGGCUACGAAGUCACAUGUCCGAGGAUUAAGUUGGCCUUGGAUUGGACCGGAUAGGAUGCGCUUAAAAUUUGAUACUCAUUAUAUCUAAAUAGGCCGUCAGAUGAAUCUGAGAUUCCCAACCUCGUGCUAGAUACUUUUGAAAAACUCUACAGGUAGUUAUUUUCUAAAUAACUUCACAGUUGCAUGCUUCUGCUGCAUAAUUGCGAGUGCAGUCCGAUACUGGUGGCUGCCGGCUGAGGUUUUUGUUUUUUUUUUUUAAUGGUUCAAGUGAAGUUUCCUCUGAAUGCGAUCUGCCUUUGUUGAUUUUUUUUUUUUUUUUUUUUUUUUCAUCACUGGAAGGCACGUCAUCCACCCUAUGGGCUCAUCUGGGAAAGGGAAGGGAAAAAGGAAGAGCACUUAUCAGCAACUUGUCGUGCAAGCUAAUACUGAUGCAAACGAAAAUGACAAAGUAGUUGCUUUAGGAGGGGGGAGAGUGGGUGAUGCAUCGACAUCAUCAGAACAGAGUGAUGGCCCUGUUGAAGCAGUAUAUAGUAGUGGCAGUGCACCUUCCCUUGAUGAAGCGAUGAGGGCUGUAUCAGCUAACCCCUAUUGUUAUGAACAUGGCGAUCUGUGGUGGUAUGCAAAAGGGGUAUUAAAAGCUAACCCUGGGAAGAGAGCAACGCUACUGAAGGUGGGGACACGUAAGGUUAGUUGGCUACGAAGUCAAAUGUCUGAGGAUUAAGUUGGCCUUGGAUUGGACCGGAU